AUUUUUUCUCUCAAACCGUAUUUCUCCUUGAUCCACUAGCUGCCUGCCCCCAGUGAAAAAGCCCGGUCUCGGGAGACAACACAGGGGUCGUAAACGUCGAAUGAACACUAGAGGCACAGGAUAGGCACCAAAACACAACAAAAUACUCCAGCCAAUCACCGACAAGAUGGAUGGGGGUGGGGGUGGGGGUUAGUGGCAGUCAGUCAGUUAGGCAUGACAGUUACGGAAACAUGGGGGGAGGGCCAAGCUUGCCUUGUUUUCUUUGGUAUUUACUUGUAACGUCAACAGAAGUGACGUCAUGCAGGAACACACAGUGCACCUUUAAGCGACUUUUACUUGU